AGAGUUUGAUCAUGGCUCAGGACGAACGCUGGCGGCGUGCGUAAUACAUGCAAGUCGAGCGGACCUUCGGGUCAGCGGCGGACGGGUGAGGAACACGUGAGUCAUCGGGCUGUGAGUGGGGGAUAUCGGGCCGAAAGGCGCGGCAAUCCCGCAUACGUUCCGGGGAACCGGAAGAAAGCUUGGCAACAGGCGCUCACAGGGGAGCUCGCGGCCCAUUAGCUAGUUGGGGGGGUAAUGGCCUCCCAAGGCGACGAUGGGUAGCCGGCCUGAGAGGGUGAACGGCCACACUGGGACUGAGACACGGCCCAGACUCCUACGGGAGGCAGCAGUAGGGAAUCUUCCACAAUGGGCGCAAGCCUGAUGGAGCAACGCCGCGUGAGUGAAGACGGCCUUCGGGUUGUAAAGCUCUGUCUGUCGGGACGAAGACCGGCCCGGAAGGGCCGGGGAGCCGGUACCGACGGAGGAAGCCCCUGCAAACUACGUGCCAGCAGCCGCGGUAAGACGUAGGGGGCAAGCGUUGUCCGGAAUUACUGGGCGUAAAGGGCGUGUAGGCGGUGCGAUACGUAGCGGUUUUAAGCCUCCGGCUCACCCGGAGGAGGGCGGCUAAACGGUCGCGCUAGAGGGCAGGAGAGGUGCGUGGAAUUCCUGGUGGAGCGGUGAAAUGCGUAGAGAUCAGGAAGAACACCCGUGGCGAAGGCGGCGCACUGGCCUGGCCCUGACGCUGAGGCGCGACAGCGUGGGGAGCGAACGGGAUUAGAUACCCUGGUAGUCAAGGGCG
rnacentral:rRNA from 1 species